UACGUAGGGUGCGAGCGUUGUCCGGAAUUACUGGGCGUAAAGAGCUCGUAGGUGGUUUGUCGCGUUGUUCGUGAAAACUCACAGCUCAACUGUGGGCGUGCGGGCGAUACGGGCAGACUGGAGUACUGCAGGGGAGACUGGAAUUCCUGGUGUAGCGGUGGAAUGCGCAGAUAGUCAGGAGGAACACCGGUGGCGAAGGCGGGUCUCUGGGCCGAUACUGACGCUGGAGGAGCGAAAGCGUGGGGAGCGAACAGG
rnacentral:rRNA from 1 species